ACCUUCGUGGUGUAGUGGUCAGCACGCUCGACGCGUAACCGAGAGAUCCGUGGUUCGAUUCCCGGUGAAGGUG
rnacentral:tRNA from 1 species